CCCAGGGGGCGGGGGUAAGAGAAGUCACUUCAAUUCCUUCCGCUUGGGGGCGGGAUAGGAAGAGAGAAAACCUGAAGCUGCAGACCGCCGCAUCCAUCUCUGAAGCUUCUGGGACUACACACAGCUCGUGUGGGGACUGAGAGUGGAUGGGGGUGGUAUUUGAACUGCACCGUCCAGCGUAGUUAGCGACCGAAGUGUCACCCUGGCCGAACUCCAGCUUUAGUAGGUUCUGAGGGCUAGGAGUCUUGACUGAGCUCAAGCUCUGACGGCGCCCGCCACCCCUUUCCAGGCUUCCAACUCUGUUUUUCCCAUGGGAUGGUAGUGCUUUCCUACCUUCCGAAGGGGCACAGUCACCGGGCAUAAAGGGCGCGCACUGGUCGUGACGCAUACCAGGACUUUGCAACUUUACAUUUGGGGUGCCUAGAGCAAUAGGCUGCGGCCAAAGGGUUGUGCAGUCCCGGACAGCCUAAGAGACCUUAUCUUAUCGCAGGCAGAGAAAGCGGCUUCGAAUACAUCCCUGAUCUUAGAUGGGACUCCUAAGCACUAUAUUUCUACUAGGCCACCCAUUUAUCACGAACUGUUUUGUCACCUCGCCUCACUGCCCCACCCCCUCCUCGCUUCACGGUUCUGCCCUGGACUUGGCCCUGCAGUGCCGCGUCUAAGCGUCCUUCCUAGCACGUGGGUGGUGGUGCAGCCAUUUCACUCUCGGGCUCACAGCCCAGCCGCCUCCCCUUCUAGGCCAAGAGAGCCUCCGACGUCCCAGGGACGGCUUUCGCAACCACACCAGCCAGCCAGGCUGCUUUCCCGGGAAAAGGCUGGGGAAGAGGGGAGAGGGUCCGCCCCACGUCGCGCAUGCGUGCUGGUUUAGCCGCUGUGCGCGUGCUCCAGCCACCAGGCACUGGGCGCGCGCUGGGCAGGCACUCGAGGAGAGAAGUUUCUCUGGGCUAGCCACCAGCCCGGGCGAAUCUAAACCACGUCCAAGAGGUGCGCAGACAGAUUUCCAGGAAAGGAAGGAGUGAGAGGAGGCCGUAGAACGGAAAAGCUGGGAAUGUUCUGAGAACAACUAGAUACUACAGUCAGCCUGCACAGGCCAGACCUUCGGACUUCUGUCCAGAGUAUUGCGUCGCCGCUACCACUUUCCAGCGGCAGGCGGCAAUCCACUCAGCGGACUUUCAGUCCUGCUGUGGAGUCGCGAGGCAGGAGUGGAUGGUGCAGGCAGAUCCAGCUCCAAGACGGCAGGAGAUUAGCCACGGGCCACAGGCCCUGCAGAGGCCAUGGUACACAUGGCCACGCCUCAGAACCGCUCACUUAACAGCUCCAAAUCAGCCCGCGUGCGUGGCCAAGAUUGGGCAGGUCCGACGCCCGCCAAGCCGCGCAGUUGAAACGUACCCAAAGAACUAGCCGAGGCCUGGCCUCAGCCUCAAGCUGGAGGACGCGCUGGGGCUUGCUGGUCUGGCCGGAUAUCCAGGAUCCAAGCACCCAGCUAGGCGCGCUCAUCUUCCCUGGACUGCGCCAGUCUCAGGCUCCUCCUCUCCCAAGAGGUUGAGUCCAUGGGCAGCGGACCUAUCCAGGCCUAAGUGGCCUCAGACUCAGGCAUGCCGUGAAAGUCGGGCUCCCGGACAGUCUAGGCACCUUCGGCUGUCUGGGGCAGAAGGAGGGCAGGCAGGCGCCCUGCUCUAAGUAAGAGCUCUUGUCAGAUAAGAGCAGUGGGGAGCCCCAUGCCCUGGUCACCUAAACCGGCCAGGAAUCGGCCCGGGGUGUGGGGAAAGGUGGGGGGUUGCGGUAGCAGGUGUCCCCCAGGCAAGAGGGUGCCUGCAUUUCCGUAAACAAAGAAACCGGGUAGUUUGUGUGUGGGGGGGGGGGCGGGGGGUGUUAGGAGAAUCGCAGACAAUCUCCUUCAUAAAAAUGUGAUCUAAGAGCAUUUGAUUUCCACUUUCACUCCCCCCACCCACCCGUGUACCCCUCCCCGCCCCUACACACUCACUGUCUCCAAAGACACUCAAAUUGCAGCCAUAUGGGCUAAAGUAAUAGGAAGCAGUUACCUUAUUUACUGCAGAGGCGGCGCAAGCAAACCUGGCAGCGUGGCUGCUAGAAGUGGGAUGAACAAACAGCCUGGGGUCUUGUUCUUGGAAACUUUUGUUUUGUUUAGUUUUGGGAGGUGCACAAGGGAACAGCCGAUUAUAUAACUUCAAAGUGGGGGAGGUCUUGUGUGGAAGAGGUGUGGAGAACUGAGCUGGUGGGCAGGGGAGGUUUCAAAAAUAAAGGUGGGCUGUGGGCAAGCCUCCUUUCAUUGGUUUCAAGGACUGAGAGCUGAACAGCCCAAAUCCGCUCCAGACUUGGUUGGAAUGAGGGCAGUUGCUAGUGCCCCCUCCUGGAACACACAGGCAUCUUCCCAUUCUGACCUAACCGGACCCCAGCUCUGGGCCUGUGGGACUGCAAACCCAUUCCUCAGAUGUCCACUCCCCUCUCAAUGUGUCUAACCUGUCCAGGGGAGAGACCACUGGGAGGUCUGAGUUAACACCUCUGCAACACUGUUCUAGUUUCUGUAAGCUUGGUAGCACUUUGGGUAUGUGCAAAGGUAACAUCCCACCUCCUCCCAGCCGAUCUACUGAAGGACUAAACUCUUCUGAGACAGGAACCAAGUUCUGGACCUCUGAACGUUCUGAAUCUCCUGAAUCCAGCUUCAACUUUGCAAUGGGCUCCACGGGAACUCCCGGCCUUUGAAACUCAGAGAGCCCCCAAGCACUGAUCUUGUCUUGAGCUAGCUAUUAGAGAAGAAUUACCAUCAGGCACAAAGGCAGGAAAAUACAGCUAGAAAGCAGAGACUACCACUAACUAACGGUUCCUUCAGAAGUACUAAGCGCGGGGACUGCCUCUCUUUACGUAAAACUUCUCCAGUUAAUUGGGCAAAGAAGUAAAAUUUAGGAACUGAACAGAAGAAGAGAAAA